GAUGAACGCUGGCGGCGUGCCUAAUACAUGCAAGUCGAGCGACCACACGAGAAGCUUGCGCCUCUGACGUUGGCGACUGGCGGGCGGGUAACACGUGCAUAACCAACCUAUUUUUCUGGGGGAACUACGGAAAACCGCUUAUGCUACCGGCGCAUACAUCCAACCGCAGGGUGCAGUAGUGAUUGACGCUUUUCGUGUCUCUAUUAGCUGAUUCCGCGUCGCAUUAGCUAGUUGGUAAGGUAACGGCUUACCAAGGCAACGAUGCGUAGCUGACCUGAGAGGAUGAUCGGCCACACUGGAACUGAGACACGGUCCAGACUCCUACGGGAGGCAGCAGUGGGGAAUAUUCGGCAAUGGGCGAAAGCCUGACGCAGCAACGCCGCGUGAGUGAAGAAGGUCUUCGGGUCGUAAAGCUCUGUUAUUAGGGAAGAACAGAAGUGUAUGAAAAUAUGCACGUCUUGACGGUACCCAAUCAGAAAGCCCCGGCUAACUACGUG
rnacentral:rRNA from 1 species